CCUACGGGUGGCAGCAGUGGGGAAUAUUGGACAAUGGGCGAAAGCCUGAUCCAGCCAUGCCGCGUGUGUGAAGAAGGCCUUCGGGUUGUAAAGCACUUUCAGUGGGGAAGAAAGCCUUGGGGCUAAUACCCUCGAGGAAGGACAUCACCCACAGAAGAAGCACCGGCUAACUCCGUGCCAGCAGCCGCGGUAAUACGGAGGGUGCGAGCGUUAAUCGGAAUUACUGGGCGUAAAGCGCGCGUAGGCGGUCUGAUAAGCCGGUUGUGAAAGCCCCGGGCUCAACCUGGGAACGGCAUCCGGAACUGUCAGGCUAGAGUGCAGGAGAGGAAGGUAGAAUUCCCGGUGUAGCGGUGAAAUGCGUAGAGAUCGGGAGGAAUACCAGUGGCGAAGGCGGCCUUCUGGACUCACACUGACGCUGAGGUGCGAAAGCGUGGGUAGCAAACAGGAUUAGAUACCCCAGUAGUC
rnacentral:rRNA from 1 species